UAUUAAAAAUUUCAUCCCUUGUACUGUUAAAAACUAGCGUAGCUAAUAGAAUAAUCAAACAAUGACGCUUGGCAUCUCACAUGUAUCUCAUGUUGACUAUAGGGACUAGUUUUUUAACAGUAGAAAUAAAUAGAAAUUUUACCA
rnacentral:pre_miRNA from 1 species